rnacentral:rRNA from 1 species
GGAAUCUUGCGCAAUGGGCGAAAGCCUGAUGCAGCGACGCCGCGUGAGGGAUGACGGCCUUCGGGUUGUAAACCUCUUUCAGCAGGGACGAAGCGCAAGUGACGGUACCUGCAGAAGAAGCUCCGGCCACCUACGUGCCAGCAGCCGCGGUAAGACGUAGGGGGCGAGCGUUGUCCGGACUUAUUGGGCGUAAAGGGCUCCUAGGCGGUUCAGUAAGUCGACUGUGAAAAUCCAAGGCUCAACCUUGGGACGCCAGUCGAUACUGCUGUGACUCGAGUUCGGUAGAGGAGUGUGGAAUUCCUGGUGUAGCGGUGAAAUGCGCAGAUAUCAGGAGGAACACCAACGGCGAAGGCAGCACUCUGGGCCGAUACUGACGCUGAAGAGCGAAAGCGUGGGGAGCAAA